rnacentral:rRNA from 1 species
ACGACCAUAUCACGUUGAAACGCCAGUUUCCGUACGAUCACCGAAGUUAAGCAACGUCGAGACUGGUCAGUAUCUAGAUGGGUGACCACUUGGGAAUACCAGGUUAUGU